CAAUAGCGUAUAUUAAAGUUGUUGCGGUUAAACGCUCGUAGUUGGAUUUCUGUCAGGGGCGUCCGGUCCUCGCUUUGCGAGUGUUAUCUGGUUCGACUUUGGCAUCCUCUUGGGGUGCUGCUGCGCUUUACUGCUGUGGUGGGGAAGUUCGAAGAUCAUUUACUUUUGUAGGGAAAUUAGAGUGUUUACGGCAGGCAAACGCCUUGAAUACAUUAGCAUGGAAUAAUAAUAUAGGACCUGAGUUCUAUUUUGUUGGUUUCUAGAGCUUAGGUAAUGAUUAAUAGGGACACCUGGGGGCAGUUCGUAUUAACGCGUCAGAGGUGAAAUUCUUGGAUUGCGUUACGACGAACUUCGGCGAAAGCAUUUGCCAAGGAUGUUUUCAUUGAUCAAGAACGAAAGUUAGGGGAUCGAAGAUGAUCAGAU
rnacentral:rRNA from 1 species